ensembl:snRNA U6 U6 spliceosomal RNA
AUACUCACUUCUUCAACACCUAUAGUAAAAUUGGAAUGACACUGAGAAUAUUAGUAUGGUCCCCGUGCAAGGAUGACAUGUAAAUUCAUGAAGUGUUCCAUAUCUUU